ACAGAGGCGGUGACGGAGGGAGCUCGGCAGCACCAUGGCAGAGGAAGUCCAAAAGCAUUCUGUGCACACACUUGUGUUCAGGUCUUUGAAGAGAACCCAUGAUACGUUUGUAGCUGAUAAUGCCAAGCCCAUCCCAUUAGAUGAAGAAAGUCACGAAGUGAAAAUGGCAGUGAAGCUGUGUACAGAGUACGGCUCAGCGUUGCACAAGCUGACUCUCAAAGAGAACUUCAGAGAGAAAGGAGGUGCGAACACCGGGGAUCCAUAUGGACACAAACAGUACUCUGGAAAUCAAGGACAAGAAGUUGAGUAUAUGGUAACUGGUACACACCCAUACCCACCUGGGCCUGGUGUGGCUUUGACAGCAGAUACUAAGGUCCAGAGGAUGCCUAGUGAAUCUGCAGCCCAGUCCUUGGCUGUAGCACUUCCUGCUUCUCAGUCCAGGUUGGAUGCAAAUCGAACAGCUGCUGGUGUGGGUGAUGUUUACAGGCAUGCUGGAAUAUCUGAGUGUUCACAGCCUCCUGGGAUGUCCGUGGCCAUGCUGGAAGCUGGUGGAAACAAAAAUUCUGCAUUAAUGCCAAAGAAGGCUCCAACCAUGCCCAAACCCCAGUGGCAUCCACCUUGGAAACUGUACAGAGUUAUCAGUGGUCACCUGGGCUGGGUGAGAUGUAUUGCAGUAGAACCAGGAAAUCAGUGGUUUGUUACUGGCUCUGCUGACAGAACCAUAAAGAUUUGGGACCUUGCUAGUGGCAAAUUGAAAUUGUCUUUGACAGGACACAUCAGUACUGUACGAGGGGUGAUAGUAAGUGCAAGAAGUCCAUACCUUUUUUCCUGCGGAGAAGACCAACAAGUGAAAUGCUGGGAUCUUGAGUACAAUAAGGUUAUCAGACAUUACCAGGGUCACCUAAGUGCUGUCUAUGGUUUAGACUUGCAUCCAACAAUAGAUGUACUGGUAACAUGUAGCAGAGAUUCAACAGCACGAAUUUGGGAUGUAAGGACGAAGGCCAGUGUGCACACACUAUUGGGACACACAGAUGCAGUAGCGACAGUGAAGUGCCAAGCUGCAGAACCACAAAUUAUUACAGGCAGUCAUGACACAACCAUACGGCUCUGGGAUUUAGUGGCAGGAAAAACUUGUGUUACUUUAACAAAUCACAAGUAAUCUGUAAGAGCAGUAGUGCUGCAUCCAAGACAUUACACAUUUGCAUCUGGUUCUCCAGAUAAUAUUAAGCAGUGGAAAUUCCCAGAUGGAAACUUCAUUCAGAACCUCUCAGGCCACAAUGCUAUUAUCAACACACUGGCUGUAAAUUCUGAUGGUGUUCUGGUCUCGGGAGCUGAUAAUGGUACUAUGCAUCUUUGGGACUGGAGAACUGGAUACAACUUCCAGAGAGUUCAAGCAGCUGUACAGCCAGGUUCUUUGGACAGUGAAUCAGGAAUAUUUGGUUGUGUUUUUGACCAGUCAGAAAGCAGAUUGCUAACUGCUGAAGCUGAUAAAACCAUAAAAGUAUACAAAGAAGAUGAUACUGCGACUGAAGAAACUCAUCCUGUCAGCUGGAAACCAGAAAUUAUCAAGAGAAAACGAUUUUAAUGCGGCAACAUACUACUUCUGUAAUUUUGUUUUGGCCUCC